rnacentral:rRNA from 1 species
AUGCACGCUGGCGGCGUGCCUAAUACAUGCAAGUCGAGCGCACAGACGAGGAGCUUGCUCCUCUGACGUUAGCGGCGGACGGGUGAGUAACACGUGGAUAACCUACCUAUAAGACUGGGAUAACUUCGGGAAACCGGAGCUAAUACCGGAUAAUAUAUUGAACCGCAUGGUUCAAUAGUGAAAGACGGUUUUGCUGUCACUUAUAGAUGGAUCCGCGCCGCAUUAGCUAGUUGGUAAGGUAACGGCUUACCAAGGCAACGAUGCGUAGCCGACCUGAGAGGGUGAUCGGCCACACUGGAACUGAGGCACGGUCCAGACUCCUACGGGAGGCAGCAGUAGGGAAUCUUCCGCAAUGGGCGAAAGCCUGACGGAGCAACGCCGCGUGAGUGAUGAAGGUCUUCGGAUCGUAAAACUCUGUUAUUAGGGAAGAACAAAUGUGUAAGUAACUAUGCACGUCUUGACGGUACCUAAUCAGAAAGCCACGGCUAACUACGUG